rnacentral:rRNA from 1 species
UGGGGAAUAUUGGACAAUGGGCGCAAGCCUGAUCCAGCCAUGCCGCGUGAGUGACGAAGGCCUUAGGGUUGUAAAGCUCUUUCGGCGGGGAAGAUAAUGACGGUACCCGCAGAAGAAGCCCCGGCUAACUCUGUGCCAGCAGCCGCGGUAAUACAGAGGGGGCAAGCGUUGUUCGGAAUCACUGGGCGUAAAGCGCACGUAGGUGGAUAGUUAAGUUCGGGGUGAAAUCCCAGGGCUCAACCCUGGAACUGCCUCGGAUACUGGCUAUCUCGAGUCCGGAAGAGGUGAGUGGAAUUCCUAGUGUAGAGGUGAAAUUCGUAGAUAUUAGGAAGAACACCGGUGGCGAAGGCGGCUCACUGGUCCGGUACUGACACUGAGGUGCGAAAGCGUGGGGAGCAAACAGGAUUAGAUACCCGUGUAGUCCCUGAGCGGGCUGGCAAGGCGCAU